rnacentral:lncRNA from 1 species
GGGGCGUGGCCUGGACGGCAGGGCGCGGCCUGGGCAAGGUGGGCAUGGCCCCCUCACAGGACAAGAAGCAGAGGACACACAGGGCCAGGGAUAGGUGGUGAUGUAACUGACCUGUCAGGUAAGGGUCAGUGGUGUGGGCGGGGUCAGGAGAGAAGGGGCGGGGCCACGCACAGUACAGGAAGUAGAAGACAGCAUGGCGGGGACACAAAGUGAAGCAGGGGUGUGGCAAGCGAGGGAGGCUUGGCCUAGACGUAAGGGCGGGACCUCGGCGGGGUGGGCGUGGCCCCACACAGCACAGGAAACAGAGCUCACACAAGGGUGAGAACAAGAAGUAACAUCACUGAGCAACCACUGUUGGGGUAAACCUGAGGGCACGGCCAGCAAGAGUGGGCGGGGUCCCCCCGGGCCCUGCCCACCUGCAGGAAGGGCACAAAGUCCUCCUGGAUGAGGCCACUACACCCGGGGUGGCCCAGCAGCCGCACGAACCGCGCAGCAUCAUCAUGGCAGGAAGUCCCUCUCCUUCGGACGUGAUUGACAGGAUCGACUUCCUACGGCUUCGUACAGACACAAGGCCCUGCGCACCCACACUGGCCCUUCCCCCCUGCGGGCUGUCCCUCACGCACUCACCGUCCUGGGUCCCGUCGUUCUCAGCGCGGGCCGCGGCAGCGGUCGGGAGGCGGGGUUAGGGUCGGAGGUCGUGUUUCCGGGGUCCGCAUCGGGGGUCGCGGCGGCGGCGGGGUCAGAGGUCGUCCCUGGGUCCCGGAUGCGGCGGAGGGCGUGGCUGAGCGCGCGCUGCGUGUGAGGAUCGCCGAGCCAGCGCCGGAAGAGCUCGUCCACCUUCAGCUGUAGCCGCGGCGUCAGCGGCGCCAUGGCAACCAGAAGGUGCGGAGCCGGAAGUGGGCAGAGACUGAUGGCAGAGGGGCGGAGCUCGGCAGAGAACGGAAGAGCUGCGGUGGGAAACUUUCGAUAGCCGAGGAUUCCAAAUAAAAAUCAACAUACAGGCGCGGGGAGUGAUGGCGUCACCGACGCGACAGAUGUGGGGUGGAGUCGGGCGAAUCCCGGAAGAACGUGCGGCGUAUAACCUCAGUCGGCCGUGGGUUCCACGAGAGGCUGCGUUCCGGGUGAUGGCGACACGGGUUACGCGACAACGGAAGGGGCGUGGUUGCAUCCGCAAACGCUCGGCAGUCACGGUUUCAAAAUAAAAAAUGGAAAAAAAAAAAAAUCCUUGGCCCGGGCGCAGGCUGAUGGCAUCAGCAAGUCAGGUCGCCGCGUGGAGGCCGUGCGCGCAUGCGCAGUGACUUCCCCCGGCCACGGGCUCGCAUGCGCUGGGGGUGUGCGCCGGCUUGGGGUCCCGAUGCGUAUGCGCGUUGGGUUUCUGUUGCAGGCAGCGCACAUGCGCAUUGCGUUUACUUCCAAGUUGGCUGCACAUGCGUGUCGCAGAAGUGCGGGUCUGGCGAGUACAAAGAAGCCUGGCUUCGCGCAUGCGUAUCGUGACGUAUGACAGCGAGUAUGGCCUGGUGCCAUCAGUCAUCCUGGAAGCUCCGCUCACUUUUAAAAAAUAAUCUCAUUGG